CCUUAUAUACCGCUUCCGGUGGUAGAAAAAGGAGGUGUGAUAAUGCCAACAACCAAAUGCUUCCACUUGCUUAAGCAGUAGUGGAAUAUGAGAACAAAAAUACCUGGUCAUGGUUUGUAUCUUUGCUUAAAGAUGAUUUAGGAAUAGGAGAUGGCAGGGGUUUCACCUUGAUUACAGACAUGCAAAAGGUAUAUCAUUCCAGUAUGUUUGAUAUUCUUUUUUGUGUUUCAUGUUUGAUUACUAACUAAUUUCCUCUUUUGUAUGGACUUCUAGCAGCAAUUCAAGAUAUUAUUCCAGCAUGUGAGCACAGGAUGUGUGCCAGGCACAUCCUUGCAAAUUGGUCAAAGAAUUGGAGAGGGAUUCAGAGGAGGAUGUUGUUCUGGAAGUGUGCUAGAAGUACAUAUGAGGCUGAACUCAAGAAAAAUCUUAAAGCACUCAGUAUGCUUGGUAAGAACAUAGUUGAUGAUCUUUUGUACUAUAACAAAGAGACUUGGUGUAAGGUGUAUUUUAAUGUAGAAGUCAAGUGUGAUGUAGUAGAUAAUAAUAUGGCUGAAAUUUUUAAUGCAUGGAUUCUAGCUGCAAGGCACAAGACCAUUAUUACCAUGCUUGAAGAAAUAAGAGUCAAGAUGAUGACUAGAAUAGCUAAGUUAAGGGAAUUUGCAAAUACUUGGUCCUACAACAUUCCUCCAAUGGCAUUAAAGGUUUUAGAGGAAAAUAUUGAAAAGUCAAUGAGGUGUACAAUUUUUUUUAAUAGACAUACAGGAUAUCAGGUUAAGGAGGGAACAAAUCAACAUACUGUUUGCCUAAGAAAUAAUACUUGUAGUUGUAGGGCUUGGAUGUUGAAGGGGAUACCAUGGCCACAUGCCAUAGCUGCAAUGUACUAUAAAGGGUAUGAACCAGCUGACUAUGUUGAUAAUUGCUACAUGAAGGAGACAUAUUUGAUGACAUAUUCUCACUUCCUUCAACCACUCAAUAAUAUGAAAAUGUGGACUGCAUCUACUAACCCUCCUGAUGCACCACCAGUGGUAAAAAGUAUGCCUGGCAGGCCCAAGAAGGUUAGGAGAAAAGAGGCAACUAAAACCAAAAAAUAUGGAAAGUUACCUAAAACUGAACUUGUCAUGAGGUGUAGCAUCUGCAAGGGUGUUGGUCACAACAAGAGGGGGUGUCAUAAGAGUGCUACAGAUCCAUCAGGUUCAGGAACUGUUGCUACACCAUAAAAUGUAACUUCUACUGCUGCAGAAGCAUCAGGUUCAGGAAGAAAUAGAAGCAGACCAAAGAAACCAAGAAAUUUAGAAGAUGAACCUACUGCAAAAAAAAGGGAGAGGAAGACCUAGAAAAUCAACAUAUACUGCACCUAAUGUCUCUAUUGCUGCUGAAUUUUCAAGUUCUGUAACAUCUGCCGCUGCUACUACAUCAACUGCACCUAUUGCAGUAGCUAGUAUAGGCAGGGGAAGAGGAGGAUCUAAUGCAACAUCUGCUGCACCUAAUGCAACAUCUGUUGCAGCUAGUAGAGCUAAUGCCUCUACUGCUACACUAAAUAGAGGAAUGGAAAAGGGUGUGGAAAAUACAAAACCAUUUAAAAGGCCAAAAGUGAUGGGAAUGGGUGUGUUUCAAGCUGAAAAUGGCUUCAAAACUUUGAAUCCUGGAAUGCCAAGUAGUAGAAUAGUAGCCACGCUAAGUACCAGAAUAGAGUCCAAUGGACCAGCAAUGAUAAUAAGAUCAGCUGAUGUAACUGGUGACAUUGGUUUCAAACCAAGUAGUGGACUGAAAUGGAAGGGAAAACCAGCAAUCACAACAAGAAGGCUUCAAGAGAUUAGAGGGAAAUAUAGAAUUCAAACAAGGACUGGUGGAUCAAACAACCUAAGCCAGAAUAGUAGUUCUGCACAUCCCCAAUAGAUUUGGUUGUUUUUGUUGACUGAAAUCUACUUCACCUACAAUUAUUUGAUGUUUUUGGUUGACUACAAGUAGACAAUGUAUACCCUAAG